GGACCUUUAGCUCAGUUGGUCAGAGCAAUCGGCUCAUAACCGAUCGGUCCCGGGUUCGAGUCCCUGAAGGUCCA
rnacentral:tRNA from 12 species